CGACACUUAUCCUCUGACAACACCUCUGCAACCUGGACAAACACACAGAGAGACAGCCAUCCGUAGAUUGCACUACUGCUACCUGGACAGGUCGUUGGACUUCUCAUGGAAGUUGAGGUCCAGAAGCUCCCUCUGUAGGUUCUCUGUAAAGCUGUCACCCUGGAUGAAGUUCCUGAUGAGCAAGUGAGGGAAAGGGUGGCAGUCCAGCUCCAGGUCCCCUUAAGAGGAACACCAGAGGAACACUCAACGACUGGUCUACUAAUAUAAAAAAGUUUUAACACUAAUUAUGUGAAUAAAUGUAACAUUAACGAA